rnacentral:rRNA from 1 species
AUUGAACGCUGGCGGCAUGCCUAACACAUGCAAGUCGAACGCGAAAGGGCUUCGGCCUGAGUAGAGUGGCGGACGGGUGAGUAAUGCGUGGGAAUCUGCCUUGCAGUGGGGGACAACCCGGGGAAACUCGGGCUAAUACCGCAUACGACCUACGGGGGAAAGGGGGCCUUCGGGCUCUCGCUGCAAGAUGAGCCCACGUCCGAUUAGCUAGUUGGUAGGGUAAAGGCCUACCAAGGCGACGAUCGGUAGCUGGUCUGAGAGGAUGAUCAGCCACACUGGGACUGAGACACGGCCCAGACUCCUACGGGAGGCAGCAGUGGGGAAUAUUGGACAAUGGGCGCAAGCCUGAUCCAGCAAUGCCGCGUGUGUGAAGAAGGCCUGCGGGUUGUAAAGCACUUUCAGUGGGGAAGAAAAGCGGGAUGCUAAUACCAUCCUGUCUUGACGUUACCCACAGAAGAAGCACCGGCUAACUCCGUG